rnacentral:lncRNA from 1 species
UUGGGUUUCAUAUCUGGCAUAUCCCACGGGUCAGCAGACGUGUGGCCGGAAGGAGCUGGGGCCGGCCCAAAUAUAUCUGCCAGCUCCAGGAUAGAGGACUGGCUUUUCUUCAUCUUAUCCUCUUCUUCCUCUUCCUCCCCACCCUGGGCAGUCUCCUCCAAGGCCCUCUGCAGCAGGGAGUUCUCCCCUUGCCAUGCCCUCACCUCCUUCUCGGCCUCCUCCC